CCCUGACUUGGGUUUCUUCGUCUGAUGGGUUUCAGAGACCUAAUUUCUAGGGCUGGAGAAGGACCUUUUCCCUCCAGAUUUUCCCGAGGGCAGCUCCUUCUCUUCCUCCCCCGCGCCUGGGAGAAGCGGCACAUGACAGCACCUAGAAGCAUGUGGGAUCUUAUUAAUAGUCCCCCAACCAGGGAUCGGACCCAUGCCCCCUGCCGUGGAAGUGUGGAGUCUUAACCACUGAACCACCAGGAAAGGCCCUAUUUCUGCAUGUUCUGAUUUCAAAUUGAUUUCCUGUUAUCUCUAAAACCCCUCUGCCAGAUUACUUGUAAUUGCUAUUGUGAUUAGAAUCUGCUCUUUGUGAAGAAUCUUCUUACUCUUUGAA